rnacentral:rRNA from 1 species
GACGAACGCUGGCGGCGUGCCUAACACAUGCAAGUCGAACGGACGCGCGUUGCUUUUGACGGGUUUUGGUGCUGCUUGAGAGAGAUUUGCGUGAGAGUCUGCCGGGUGAGUAACACGUAGGUCAUCAGCCCUCAGGUGGUGGUGAACAUUUGGAGACAGAGGCGAAUAGCGCAUAUAGGAUAACACCGCAUGGUGUGGGUUUGAAAGAGGGUUUCGAGUUUGACGGUAGGAUGGAGCCGCGGUGUAGUAGUUAGUUGGUGGGGUAAAGGCUGACCAAGACGGUGAUGCGUAGACGACCUGAGAGGGUGAUCGGCCACACUGGAGCUGAGACACGGCCCAGACUCCUACGGGAGGCAGCAGUAGGGAAUCUGCGACAAUGGUCGAAAGUCUGAUAGAGCGACGGCGCGUGAGUGAAGAAGGUUUUCGGAUCGUAAAGCUCUGUUGUUGGAGAAGAAUGUCUCUGAUAGUAGACGAUGCGGUAGUGACGGUAUCGAGUCAAAAAGCACCGGCUAACUACGUG